UGUUAAAAAAUUAAUCCGUUUGUAUUGUUAAAAACUGGCAUAGCUGACAAAAUAACCAAACAGUAAUGCAUGACGUGCCACAUACACAUCAUGCUGAUAUACAAAGAUAAAUUUUUAACAGCAUAAAUAGAUGAAAAUUUUAACA
rfam:Gossypium hirsutum cultivar TM-1 unplaced genomic scaffold scaffold288.1, whole genome shotgun sequence